rfam:Parcubacteria group bacterium CG2_30_36_38 cg2_3.0_scaffold_602_c, whole genome shotgun sequence.
GCCCCCAUAGCUUAAUGGUAAAGCAGUCGCCUCUUAAGCGACUGACCUAGGUUCGAUUCCUAGUGGGGGUA